GAGUUCUUCUCAUAUCUACAAUACAUGAAAAGUAGCAAAAACCUCCUUAGAAGACAAGGUUUUAACUGAAAGGAAUCCUGCAUAAACAACUUAGGUCACUUUUGGAUGCAGGACAUUUCACUACAUGGAGUAUUGACAACGCAGUAUGAAAUGCUCUAUGAAAAUUGUCAACAAAAUGCCAAUUUCUGUCCUGCAAGAAGAUGCCAGGAUACAUUUGAGAAGCACACGUUUCCAUUCUGCCAUUUACUUUAGACUGCCAAAGAUAAAAGGUUUCAGACAACAGAAGACUUUAGCAGUGUCAAGAAUAAUUCAUUACCCAGCACUAUGACAUUCACUAAAGAAUAUGAGGAAUUUAGCAUUGCAUCUUGCUAACAUCUCUGUUGCAGACAUUGUUUUCGACUUUUGAAAACAUUGUUCACAUGCAUAAAGCAAUUACUGAGUCAUACUA